UUGGGGUGGUCAUCAGGGUGGUCACUGGGGGUGGUCAGUGACCAGUGGGGGUGGUCAGUGGUCAUUCAAGAUGGUCAGUGGUCACUGGGGUGGUCAUGGGGGGUCAGUGGCCAGUGGGGUGGUCAUUGGGGUGGCCAUUGGUCAUCAGGGUGGUCAGCGCCCAUUGGUCAUCGGGGUGGUCACUGGGGUGGUCACUCGGUCAUCAGGGUGGUCAUCAGGGUGGUCACUGGGGUGGUCAGCACAUCAGGGUGGUCACUGGGGUGGUCACUCGGUCAUCGGGGGUCACUGGGGUGGUCACUCGGUCGUCGGGGUGGUCACUGGGGUGGUCAGCACCCAUUGGUCAUCGGGGUGGUCAAUCGGCCACCCCACCCCCCCAAUCACACCCAAACCCCAUCGUGAAGUGACCAAAGCCCUCCGGCCGCUCCGGCCAGGGGUCAUUUAUUGGUGGUCACUCGUCCGAGCCGGCCGGGCUGCCCAGGAAGAGGCCGGAGUAGCCGAAGGCUGGAGCGGAGCCUUCGUCCUCUCCUCCUCCUCCUCGUCCUCGUCCUCCUCGUCCUCCUCGUGGUCAUCGUGGUCAUCGGGGUCAUCGGGGUCAUCGGGGUCAUCCUCGUCCUCCUCCUCCUCCUCCGGCCGCACCGAGCGGUCAGCGGCGCCGUUGGGCCCACGGUCAUCUCCGGCCACCGGCCGAGAGCGGCCGCUGGACCAUUGGUCAUCCCUUGAGCCGACUGACCACUGGUCAUUCUUGGAGCUCGGUGACCACUGCUCGAUCUUCACCUCCGCUGACCACUGGUCAUCCUUGGGCCCCGCUGACCACUGGUCACUCUUGGAGCUGGGUGACCAUUGCUCCUGCUUCACCUCCGCUGACCACUGGUCAUUCUUCAGCCCUGCUGACCACUGGUCAUCUUUCGGCCCCGAUGACCACUGGUCAUUCUUGGAGCUGGGUGACCACUGCUCGAUCUUCACCACCGCUGACCACUGGUCACUCUUGGAGCUUGGUGACCACUGCUCCUGCUUGACCUCUGCUGGCCAUUGGUCAUCCUUGGGCCCUGCUGACCACUGGUCACUCUUGGAGCCCGCUGACCACUGCUCAUCCUUCACCCCAGCUCCUCCUCCAGCUGACCACUGGUCACUCUUCGGCCCUGCUGACCACUGCUCAUUCUUUGAGCCCGCUGACCACUGGUCACUCUUCGAUCCAGGUGACCACUGCUCCUUCUUCACCGCCGCUGACCACUGCUCAUCCUUGGGCCCCGCUGACCACUGGUCACUCUUUGACCCCGCUGACCACUGGUCACUCUUGGGCCCCGCUGACCACUGCUCAUCCCUCCCGCCGCCCCUCCCUCCCCGGCCCCUCCCCGCGGCGGCCGCCCCCUCCGAGGCCGUUUGGCCUCCGCGGCCGUGGCCGAGUGUCCGGGCGGUGUCCGAGCAGGCGUCCGAGCAGGAAUCGCCGCUGCCCCCGCGCCAGCGCCCACUUGGCCUCGAGCCGCGCCAGCUCGUCGCACAGCGCCGCGUUCUCCAGCACCAGCGCCCGCGCCGCGCGCCGCAGCCGCCGGAAACGCUGCCGCGCGCGCUCGCCCGGACGCGGCCGCGCCGCCGGGGGCAUCGUCCGGCCACGAGGGGACGCUGCGGGAGGAGAGAGAACGGAAAACGGUGA
rnacentral:lncRNA from 1 species